rnacentral:rRNA from 1 species
UGGGAAGAAGCUUAACUUGGGGGAAACUGCCACAAGGUUAUCACUUUAACAAAGGAAAACUUAAUAAUAUCAAAUAUGAAAUAUAAUUAUAUUAUAAAAUUAAAUUAAAUAUUUAAUUAUACUUAAUUUAAGAGUAGUUUGUAUGCUAAUAUUAUAAUAUAUCUAUAUUGUAAUUAGUCUUUUAUAUAAAAAAAACACCUUUGUUAAGCUAAUUAGUAUCAGUUAACUCAUUUAAGUAACAUCU